rnacentral:rRNA from 1 species
AGUGAACGCUGGCGGUAGGCCUAACACACGCAAGUCGAACGGCAGCACAGUAAGAGCUUGCUCUUACGGGUGGCGAGUGGCGGACGGGUGAGGAAUACAUCGGAAUCUACUUUUUCGUGGGGGAUAACGUAGGGAAACUUACGCUAAUACCGCAUACGACCUACGGGUGAAAGCAGGGGAUCUUCGGACCUUGCGCGAUUGAAUGAGCCGAUGUCGGAUUAGCUAGUUGGCGGGGUAAAGGCCCACCAAGGCGACGAUCCGUAGCUGGUCUGAGAGGAUGAUCAGCCACACUGGAACUGAGACACGGUCCAGACUCCUACGGGAGGCAGCAGUGGGGAAUAUUGGACAAUGGGCGCAAGCCUGAUCCAGCCAUACCGCGUGGGUGAUGAAGGCCUUCGGGUUGUAAAGCCCUUUUGUUGGGAAAGAAAAGCAGCAGGUUAAUACCCCGCUGUUCUGACGGUACCCAAAGAAUAAGCACCGGCUAACUUCGUG